UUUCUGGGUUUAGUUACCAGUCUUAGCAAUACCUUUACCAUGUCUCUAGAGGCACAGAAUUAAUUUUCUGUCUCUGGGAGUGUUCCAGCCUUGAGCACUGGGCGGGAAACCUCCUGGAGCUUUCCCCCCUUGGAUUGGUUUGGCUGUGACACUUGUCACAGGCACUGAGAUCUUUGCAGUGUGGGUGUGUGAUAAAUGUGAGCUGGGUCCUGCCAGUGGCUGGGUUUGGUGUGGGCUGUGCAGCUGCCAGUGGGAAAUGCUCUGCAGACCCUCCCCAUGUGAUGGCAGGAAGGGCUGUGGUGGUAGAGGUCCCUUCCAAUUUAAAUUAUUCUUUGAUACUUAGCUCAAAACAAACAAUUUUUGACACCAGUUAUUCUACCUUGGCUUUUCGCUAUCAGCCAGCCUCAGAAGUAAUGUACUGCUCCAAUGGGCUGUAGGGUGACUUGGAAGAGCUCUCACUCCUGGAAAAGAAUAAGGGCAGCAAGCCGAGGGAGACUCGGCAGGGUGCUUGAGGCUUUCAUGAUCUAAUUGAAAGGAAGCGCAGAGUUCCACCUCUGUUAGAGCCAGAGCUGGUGUGACUCAUCCUGGAGGGCACUGCUUUGCGUGGUCCUUCGCCUGAGCUGUUGCCCUGCUGUGAGAAAUCUGCCAUAAGAGAAAGCUGGAAACAGACUUAACCUCAUUUUGGAUUGUCCACUGCCAUCCAGGAGCGGUGAGAAUUGUGAAUCCAUUUAUUUUUCCCUUUAAAGUGAAUUGUACUGCCUGCCCAUGGAAACAUAGGGUGCAACUGAGGAAGACACUGCUUUUGUGCAAGAAGUGCCACGAGGAUUAAAGUGCACCAGGUGCAAUGGGUGUGGAUGAGUCAGGAGAUCCUGGCUUCAAAUGUGAGCUCUUCAAAGUGGUAUCUGCCUUUUUUGGUGAGCCUCACGCAGACCUCUCAUUUAAAGAAUGCAGAACCAUAACAAAA